rnacentral:rRNA from 1 species
GAUGAACGCUGGCGGCGUGCCUAAUACAUGCAAGUCGAGCGAACGGACGAGAAGCUUGCUUUUCUGAUGUUAGCGGCGGCCGGGUGAGUAACACGUGGCUAACCUACCUAUAAGACUGGGAUAACUUCGGGAAACCGGAGCUAAUACCGGAUAAUAUUUUGAACCGCAUGGUUCAAAAGUGAAAGACGGUCUUGCUGUCACUUAUAGAUGGAUCCGCGCUGCAUUAGCUAGUUGGUAAGGUAACGGCUUACCAAGGCAACGAUGCAUAGCCGACCUGAGAGGGUGAUCGGCCACACUGGAACUGAGACACGGUCCAGACUCCUACGGGAGGCAGCAGUAGGGAAUCUUCCGCAAUGGGCGAAAGCCUGACGGAGCAACGCCGCGUGAGUGAUGAAGGUCUUCGGAUCGUAAAACUCUGUUAUUAGGGAAGAACAUAUGUGUAAGUAACUGUGCACAUCUUGACGGUACCUAAUCAGAAAGCCAGGGCUAACUACGUG